CAUGUUGUGUUUUUAUAUUUGUGUUCAGUGUAUAUUAUAUAUUUUUUACUUUUAUUACUUAAAUAAUUGGUUUCUUAUUAGAAUCUGUAUUGUAUAUGGAUCUCAAAUGUGGGCCCCUGUGUGGAAAGAGGUUUCACUGUGGCGCCCAAAUAAAGCAUUGAGAUUUCUCUCUCUGUAUUGGCCUGAUGUAUGCAAUACUGCUCUCCCAGUGAGAGCUGGCAGUGUAUGCUGUGCCGGGACCUCUCUGAUCUGGCGUUGCUGCAGGACUGCAGCAGGACUGUGGAUGUGCCCUCCUGACCAAAUGAGAUGUGAGCGCUUACUACUCGUCCUUUUGUGCAGAAAGUGCAGCGUUGUCCUCUACAGACCAGCCAAGAGAGAGAUGGUAUUGAUUCUCUGAUACGGGGACAGUUGCUACGGAAACUGGUCCCCCUUACUGCACCCCGUCGGAAUUUGUGUCCGAUGUCUGGCUUCUCCUCCACACACUGUUGA